rnacentral:rRNA from 1 species
AUUCGCGCAGCCUGAUCCAGCCAUGCCGCGUGCAGGAUGACGGUCCUAUGGAUUGUAAACUGCUUUUGUACAGGAAGAAACACUCCCUCGUGUCGGAGCUUGACGGUACUGUAAGAAUAAGGAUCGGCUAACUCCGUGCCAGCAGCCGCGGUAAUACAUUAAA